rnacentral:rRNA from 1 species
AUAUUACCGAAGCUGUGGAUUGUCCUUUGGACAAUGGUAGGAGAGCGUUCUAAGGGCGUUGAAGCAUGAUCGUAAGGACAUGUGGAGCGCUUAGAAGUGAGAAUGCCGGUGUGAGUAGCGAAAGACGGGUGAGAAUCCCGUCCACCGAUUGACUAAGGUUUCCAGAGGAAGGCUCGUCCGCUCUGGGUUAGUCGGGUCCUAAGCUGAGGCCGACAGGCGUAGGCGAUGGAUAACAGGUUGAUAUUCCUGUACCACCUAUAAUCGUUUUAAUCGAUGGGGGGACGCAGUAGGAUAGGCGAAGCGUGCGAUUGGAUUGCACGUCUAAGCAGUAAGGCUGAGUAUUAGGCAAAUCCGGUACUCGUUAAGGCUGAGC